GUACAAUAAGCAAAAUAAGGGCGUAUGGGGGAUGCCUAGGCUCUCAGAGGCGAAGAAGGACGCGAUAAGCUGCGAAAAUCUGCGGGGAUUGGCACAUACAAAUUGAUCCGCAGGUAUCCGAAUGGGGCAACCCACUAUGUUGAAGACAUAGUAUCCGCCGUAAGGCGGAGGCAAACCCGGGGAACUGAAACAUCUAAGUACCCGGAGGAGAAGAAAACAAAAGUGAUUCCGUAAGUAGCGGCGAGCGAACGCGGAUUAGCCCAAACCAGGGUUGUUACGGCAAUUCUGGGGUUGUAGGACCGCGACAUUGGUUGUGCGAUGAAUUAGAACAAGUUGGAAAUCUUGGCCAUAGAAGGUGAUAGCCCUGUAUAAGUAAAGACCAUAAACCAUAGCGGUAUCCUGAGUAGUGCGGGACACGAGAAAUCCUGUAUGAAUUUGGCGGGACCAUCCGCUAAGGCUAAAUACUCCUGAGAGACCGAUAGUGAACCAGUACCGUGAGGGAAAGGUGAAAAGAACCUUGAAUAAAGGAGUGAAAUAGAUCCUGAAACCAUACGCUUACAAGCGGUCGGAGUCCGCCUUCGGGCGGAUGACGGCGUGCCUUUUGCAUAAUGAGCCUACGAGUUAACGUUGCUGGCAAGGUUAAGUGAUUAAGUCACGGAUCCGUAGCGAAAGCGAGUCUGAAUAGGGCGCAGAGACGUAGCACUGCUAUGUCUUUACAGUCAGUAGUGUUAGACGCGAAACCGUGUGAUCUACCCAUGGGCAGGGUGAAGCUUUGUUAACCCAAAGUGGAGGCCCGAACCCGUUGACGUUGAAAAGUCUUGGGAUGACCUGUGGGUAGGGGUGAAAGGCCAAUCAAACUCGGAAAUAGCUCGUACUCCCCGAAAUGCAUUUAGGUGCAGCGUUGAUAACUAGUUUUAUAGAGGUAGAGCUACUGAUUGGAUGCGGGGGCUUCACCGCCUACCAAUUCCUGACAAACUCCGAAUGCUAUAAAAUGAUAAUCAGCAGUGAGGGCAUGGGUGCUAAGGUCCAUGUCCGAGAGGGAAAGAACCCAGACCAUCAGCUAAGGUCCCAAAAUGUAUAUUAAGUUGAAUAAACGCGGUUGGAUUGCACAGACAGCUAGGAUGUUGGCUUGGAAGCAGCCAUUCAUUUAAAGAGUGCGUAACAGCUCACUAGUCGAGCGAUCCGGCAUGGAUAAUAAUCGGGCAUAAAUAUACUACCGAAGCUAUGGAUUUGUUUGCCUUUUGGCGGACAUCUGGUAGGGGAGCAUUCUAAUGGGGUUGAAGGUGAGCUGUAAGGCUUGCUGGACUAAUUAGAAAAGAAAAUGUAGGCAUAAGUAACGAUAAUGCGGGCGAGAAACCCGCACACCGAAAGACUAAGGUUUCCUCAGCUAUGCUAAUCAGCUGAGGGUUAGUCGGGGCCUAACGCGAACCCGAAAGGGGUAGUGGAUGGACAACAGAUUAAUAUUUCUGUACCUGCUCACAAUAAAAGUGACGGAGGCGUGAAUUUGGUGCGUGCUGACGGAAUAGCACGUUGAAGCCAGUGGUAACACGGCGAU
rnacentral:rRNA from 1 species